UGAAUAGCCUCUGGACUAGCAUAAGUUCGGGGGAAUUUCCAGUGAUCAGCGCCAACAAGACACAAUCUUGCACUGUCUGAAUAUGGUUCAAUGUUUGCUUCCGCCACCAGAUAACAAAUGUGUGCAGCAACAAUCUGAAUCACAAUAGGUUCAAUGUUUGCUUCUGCCACCAGAUAACAAAUGUGUGCAGCAACAAUCUGAAUCACAAUAUUAAAGUGUGAAGCAUACAGACACAGCAUAGGAGAUAUUCUAAAGAAUGAGAA
rnacentral:lncRNA from 1 species